GACAACCCGAGGAAACUCGGGCUAAUACCGCAUAUUCUUUUUUAAAUAAAAAAGGAAAGCGGGGGAUCUUCGGACCUCGCGCUAUGAGAUGAGCCUACGUCGGAUUAGUUAGUUGGUAGGGUAAUAGCCUACCAAGACUAUGAUCCGUAGCUGGUCUGAGAGGACGAUCAGCCACACUGGGACUGAGACACGGCCCAGACUCCUAUGGGAGGCAGCAGUGGGGAAUAUUGGACAAUGGGGGAAACCCUGAUCCAGCAAUGCCGCGUGUGUGAAGAAGGCCUUCGGGUUGUAAAGCACUUUCGGUAGGAAAGAAAGUCUUAAAGCUAAUACCUUUGAAGAGUUGACGUUACCUACAGAAGAAGCACUGGCUAACUCUGUGCCAGCAGCCGCGGUAAUACAGAGAGUGCAAGCGUUAAUCGGAAUUAUUGGGCGUAAAGCGCGCGUAGGUGGAUUUUUAAGUCGGAUGUGAAAGCCCUGAGCUUAACUUGGGAAUUGCGUCCGAUACUGAAUUUCUUGAGUAUGGUAGAGGGAAGUGGAAUUUCCGGUGUAGCGGUGAAAUGCGUAGAUAUCGGAAGGAACACCAGUGGCGAAGGCGACUUCCUGGAUCAAUACUGACACUGAGGCGCGAAAGCGUAGGGAGCAAACAGGAUUAGAGAGGGGAGUUUACUUUCUAGUAGCGAAGCUAACGCGUUAAGUUCUCCGCCUGGGGAGUACGGCCGCAAGGUUAAAACUCAAAGAAAUUGACGGGGGCCCGCACAAGCGGUGGAGCAUGUGGUUUAAUUCGAUGCAACACGAAAAACCUUACCUACCCUUGACAUCCUCGGAACUUGUCAGAGAUGACUAGGUGCCUUCGGGAACCGAGUGACAGGUGCUGCAUGGCUGUCGUCAGCUCGUGUCGUGAGAUGUUGGGUUAAGUCCCGUAACGAGCGCAACCCUCGUCCUUAGUUGCCAGCGGUUCGGCCGGGAACUCUAAGGAGACUGCCGGUGAUAAACCGGAGGAAGGUGGGGAUGAUGUCAAGUCAUCAUGGCCCUUAUGGGUAGGGCUACACACGUGCUACAAUGGGUAGUACAGAGGGUUGCCAAAUCGUGAGGUGGAGCUAAUCCCAGAAAGCUGUUCGUAGUCCGGAUUGGAGUCUGCAACUCGACUCUAUGAAGCUGGAAUCGCUAGUAAUCGCGAAUCAGAAUGUCGCGGUGAAUACGUUCUCGGGCCUUGUACACACCGCCCGUCACACCAUGGGAGUG
rnacentral:rRNA from 1 species